GCGCCCUUCGUGUAACGGUAACACGCUGCACCCUUGUCGGUAAGAGUGCCAAAGACUUGAAUAACAGAGAUCGGGGUUCGAAUCCCCGAGGGCGCG